rnacentral:lncRNA from 1 species
AGCUUGGACUGUGAGGAGAGAAUGAAAUCUGUCUGUUUUUAUUCUCAGAGGAAGAUAAACAGACUGAUUGUGAGACAAGGACCAAGUCCGGAUAUUUAAAAAGCCCCUCACCUUUUCUUUGUUAGACUUAAAGAGAAGCUAGACAAGUAAUGUUUGCUUAGUGAGUGUCUUUUUUUCAAUCAUUUCUUCUCUCCUUGGUGUUACGUUAUGUCUCUUAAUAUUCAUUUAUUCUCAGCGUAGUUAUCUCGCAUCUUAGUAAUGUAGACUGUGUAAAACCCGGACACAGUCUUAAUUACAUUAUCCACUGAAGAUGUGGUGUAUACAGGUGCAACAAGAACACUGGAUUAGUUUGGGUUUUGCCAAGCCAUCUAUAGCCCAUUGAAAUCUUAAAGGUUAGGGUUAGACCCUCAUCCAAGCUUGGGUAUUAUUUCAAAUUUCAGAGAUUCGUGGAUUCAAUAAGGAACGUGGAUUACAGGCCAAAACAAAACCAAGACUGCAACUAUAUCGCCACUUGACCCUCAUAACGUGACGACUUCAAUCUCAUAAUAUUAUGACAUUAAUAGGAUUUUAUUUUGUAGAAAUUUUACUUAAAUCUUACAACAUUACAACUUGUUUUUCUUGUGGUUAAAUUCUUCUAAUAUAAUUUUGCGACAACUUCACAGACUUCACAGAAUUUUCUAUGUGUCACUGAUACUCUGUUGCAUGAAAGAAACGAUUCGGUUCUGCGCUAUUUCGCUAAUGUCCGCUUGUGUUACCAAAACAAUGAAAAACAUAUUAGAUAUCUUAAAACUGAGCCAUUAACUAUAUUUAUUUAUUUAUUUAAAAUAUUUAAAAAGAACAUCACUAAAACAUCAAAUUACUUGCAGCUGUUGUGGUUGAUGCCAUCUUUAUUACUGAAAUCACUUUUGGUCCUUGAAGGACACCGUUGCCUUACUGAAAGGAAAGGAUGGAGAGGAAGUGUUUAAUUCUAAAUUCUUACUGCAAGAUGUUGGUAAAUAUCCUCAUUCUGCUCACUGCACCUUUAAUCUGGGAAUAUUUUUGUGAUCCUAUCAUUCAUAAGUUCACAGUCCCCGGUAGGUCUUUUCAGUUAGCUGCACACUCUCUCCAGCCAGUGUCUAGAUGACGAACACAUAAAAAGUUGACAAGGUUUAAGCUAAGGGUCUGCUCUGCCACCUUAACAAGCAAAAAAACAGGGAUGUCUGUCAGGGCAGUAGUUUAGGACUGAGUGUAGCCGCCCACACGGCCAGCCAAGAGGAUCCUUUAGCAGGUGGCUAAAGAACAGUAAUGACAUGCCUGGACAGAGAAAAAGUGCUGUCUGCAGGGAUGCCCGGGGGAAAUCUGAAAGGUCAAAACUGGAUUCACAUGGCAGGGGUCCAUACAGCAUAUCAAGCUAGUUAGCUUGACUUAAAGUGUCUAAAAUACAAAGCCCUGGAACUCAGAACUUGGAGGCUAAAAAACAAAUUCUGGUCUUGAUUAAGUCAUACUGCCUUUGGAGCUUGAUUUUUUAAGCAGUUUAAGGAAAAAUUACAUCUCAUCUAGUUGUGUCUAUAAAGGUUAUUGUGUAUGAAAAACAGUUAAAGGGAGUCUCCAGAUCUUCAGGGACAACAGGGUUUUAAGCUCAAGUUCACUCCCAGCCUGAGAAUUAAUUGUGCACCCAUAAAAAGUGGGUUUCACGCUGCCUUUAGCCAGCUAUCAGGGUUAGGGUUAGGGGUUAGGGUUCAGGGUAGGGUUAGGGUUGGGGUAAGGGUUGGGGUAAAGGGUAGGAUUGGGGUUAGGGUUGGGGUUGGUGUUAGGGGUAGGGUAAGGUGUUAGGGGUAGGGUAAGGGGUUAGGAGUUAGGGUUGGUGUUAGGGGUAGGGUAAGGGGUUAGGAGUUAGGGUUGGUGUUAGGGGUAGGGUAACGGGCUAGGAGUUAGGGUUGGGGUUAGGGGUCGGGUUGGAUUAGGGGUGGGGUUGGUGUUAGGGGUUAAUGUUGGGGUUAGUGGUUAGGAUUUAGGGUUGGUGUUGGGGUUAGGGUUGGGGUUAGGGUCAGUUUUAGGGUUAGGGUUUAGGGUUAGUGUUAGGCAAUCCUUCUGGGAAUUCCUUGGGUGAAAUCUUAGACAAUGUUUUUUUCCCCUCUGUAUGCCAAUGAAAGGGUUACAAGAAUCUGAGAGUCCCAGCUGUAGAGGAAGUACAACCAUUCUCUGAGUUUAUGCUGUGAUUUUCCACACAGACCACCCCUCGAGGUGAUGAAUAAAUUAAUUAGCCUUCUGGUUAGCUGAAAAAAAAUGAUGCAUUUUUAUUCUAAGAUAAAACUUGACAUGCUUUUACAUGAGAGCUUCAGUGGAGAGCCUGUCAGCAAACAGAGGCGGGAUUUUAUUAAAACAGUUCGCAAAUGGAUUUUUGCUUUUCUGCAGAAGAGGGUCAAAAAUUGGUCGCACUAUGGGGCUGUGUUACCAUUUUUUAUCCCUAGCAUUAACAGAUUAUUUUCAGUCAGAAGUAAAAAAUAAAUAAACAAAAUGACACCAGACACCAGUUUUUAACCAGAAUCUGAAGUUGUAUCACUCUGUAGAAAGCUAACAGAUAAUAAAAACAUUAAUAGUACCACACACAAAAAACUGGAUUUUCUGUGUAUUAUUGGGUGUAUAAGUAUGGCAUUAGAUUUCAUGCCUACAAGAUAUUUGCCUCCUGGGGAAGCAUGUGCUCAGUGAAUAAGAGGAGAGCAAAGAUAGUGCCCAGAGGAACACCACAAGAUUUGACCCAGAAGCACUGGGGAAAACUACACAUAGAUUUGUCCCAAGGGUAAACAUAUAAAGUAAAUAAGAGGGGGUCCAAUAAAAAGCCCUGGGGAGUACCAUGUCAACAUGUGCCCCCCUAGGGAAGAAUGUACUCAGUAAUUAAAAGGAGACCAAAGACAGAGCCCUGAAGAACACCACCACAAGAUUUCCACCCCUGGGGAAACAUGCAAACAGUGAAUCAGAAAGGACCUAAGUCAGAGCCCUGAGGAACGCCACAAGAAGACAUUUCCAAGGAUCACUGAAAAAGACUUAUCUGAUGGACUGGGAAUGAACCAGUCCAGUGCCACAUCAUGGACUCCAACACAGUAAACCUAAACCCUGGAAUAUGUUCUUGUUUUAUACACUUUUGGUUGAAUUACACCAAACAUGCUGUUUAUGUUUGUGAGAUGAUGAAGUGAAAACAAAGAUUUUUAUGGUGUGGUUUCAUUGAGUCAGAUAGGUUUAGCCAAGCAAACUCAGACUCUUUCUCCCACGCAAUCUUUUAAAGUUAAAACAGCAGCAGUUCCAGGGUUCAGCGGAUCCUGCAUGAGUCCUGAUACUGACACCAGGCAGCUCCAGGUGGACUCAUUUUAGUCAACACCUCUGCUCUCUCCUGUCUCUGAUUGCGGCAGGUGGAGGUGGGCGGUGGGAGCUCUGAGACAGUUAUCGUACAGUGGCAGCCAUAUGUAGGUGUAGCUUAUUUAUUCAGACCAAACAGGGAGUUAAAAGCUGCCUCAUUUCUGUCCAAAAAUGUCCAGUAACAGCCAGCAGAAAACACAUUCUGAGUGUUCACUUUGAUGUAUAUUUUCAUAAUGACUGAGAAGCUAACAGAGUUAAAUUUAGGUCCUUUCAUUCCCACUUCAGUGCAAAAUGUUUGUUGCCCCUUGGCUACAAGCCACAGUUAGGUCAGAGAUUUUAGAAAAAGCUCCUGAGUGCCUUCAGCCCCGGGCUAAUUAUUCUGACGCUAUAUAAAAAGGUGUGUCAAGGUGGUAGCAUAUCCAAACAGAGCUCUUUAGAGGAAACAUUCCUCUGUAUAUUCAAGUAAUUCAAGAGUAUUUAAAUCUGCAGAACAUGUCUGCUGAAUCAGAAAGAGAAGAGGCUUGCAUGAGGAGUUUGAGCAAGACUGAGGCUGAGAUUAUGUCAGCUGGGAACACUUUGUGACUUCAUAAUACAAAUAAUGGCUGAUUUUGAAAAGAACAUUUUAUACAAGUGACUGAAAGUACCUCUCAUAUAGGGAAGCUCUCAAAGGAGCAAAUAACAUCCCUCAGGAAGAAAAAGUCCGAACUCUUACUUAUUCUUGUGAAUGAGCAAAUUCAGCGACACAGAUCGUAAAAGAUUAAAAUAGAUUUUUGAACCAGAAUGUUGAAAAGCAUGUCAUUUUUUGUUGUAAAGUUUAGCGUUUUCGAGUAUGUGUGUAUGUGGCUUCUGGUGCUUUUGCAGUCAGCCCCUAGUGGACAAUCAGGGAACUGCAUUUUUAGCACUUCCACAACACCUUGAUUUUAUAAGACUGGCAUGCCGCCCAAAAAGGUAGCCAAAUGGAUGUAAAGUUCACAUUUCACACAUCAUUUCAGCUUUUGUAACAGUCCUGCAAAGACAUAAUCACAGGUGCAAUUAUUCUUCUACCUGAUAGUUUUGGUGGGAAUAUUAUCAAGAGGUGCAGAGAUGCUAAAAAGGAAGUUUAUGUACACCUGGUGUUCUCCCAGAUUGCUCAUCAUUAUGACAGCAGAUGAGCUCUUAAUGAGUGUGUGUGGUGUACGACAGGUGUUGCAGUUGCUACUUGUGAGAUGGAGCUGCUAAAUAAAGCAGUGACUGGCUGAAGGAGGAAGCACAUGGGAAGGACAAGUGCUAACUUUAAGUGGUCUCACCAUAGUUUUAAGGAUGAUUGGGAGUUUUGAGCUUACACUUUUUGU